rnacentral:rRNA from 1 species
GUAGGGAAUAUUGCGCAAUGGACGAAAGUCUGACGCAGCGACGCCGCGUGAGUGAUGAAGGCCUUAGGGUCGUAAAGCUCUGUUGAAUGGGAAGAAAAAAAUGACGGUACCAUUCGAGGAAGGACCGGCUAACUUCGUGCCAGCAGCCGCGGUAAUACGAGGGGUCCUAGCGUUGUUCGGAAUCAUUGGGCGUAAAGGGUGUGUAGGUGGCCAUGUAAGUCAGGUGUGAAAGCCCCGGGCUCAACCCGGGAAGUGCACUUGAGACUGCGUGGCUUGAGUACCGAAGAGGGUAGUGGAAUUCCAGGUGUAGUGGUGAAAUACGUAGAUAUCUGGAGGAACACCGGUGGCGAAGGCGGCUACCUGGUCGAGUACUGACACUGAGACACGAAAGCAUGGGGAUCAAACAGGAUUAGAAACCCGGGUAGUCC